AGGAUUGUAAAAUUCUUUCACCGGGGACGAUAAUGACGGUACCCGGAGAAGAAGCCCCGGCUAACUUCGUGCCAGCAGCCGCGGUAAUACGAAGGGGGCUAGCGUUGCUCGGAAUUACUGGGCGUAAAGGGAGCGUAGGCGGACUGUUUAGUCAGAGGUGAAAGCCCAGGGCUCAACCUUGGAAUUGCCUUUGAUACUGGCAGUCUUGAGUACGGAAGAGGUAUGUGGAACUCCGAGUGUAGAGGUGAAAUUCGUAGAUAUUCGGAAGAACACCAGUGGCGAAGGCGACAUACUGGUCCGUUACUGACGCUGAGGCUCGAAAGCGUGGGGAGCAAACAGGAUUAGAUACCCUGGUAGUCCACGCCGUAAACGAUGAGUGCUAGUUGUCGGCAUGCAUGCAUGUCGGUGACGCAGCUAACGCAUUAAGCACUCCGCCUG
rnacentral:rRNA from 1 species